GUACACGCUGUGACUAGCAUAUCAAUAAGCGGAGGAAAAGAAACUAACAAGGAUUCCCUUAGUAACGGCGAGUGAAGCGGGAAGAGCUCAAAUUUGAAAUCUUCAAGGUUUUACCUUGACGAAUUGUAGUUUAAAGAAGUGUUUUCUGUUGAAGUUUUGGUAAAAGUUCUUUGGAAUAGGACAUCAUAGAGGGUGAGAAUCCCGUAUUUGACCAUUACUUUCAACUUUGUGAUACACUUUCAAAGAGUCGGAUUGUUUGGGAAUGCAGUCCAAAAUGGGUGGUAAAUUUCAUCUAAAGCUAAAUAUUGGCGAGAGACCGAUAGCGAACAAGUACCGUGAGGGAAAGAUGAAAAGAACUUUGAAAAGAGAGUUAAACAGUACGUGAAAUUGUCAAAAGGGAAGCGUUUGACACCAGUGUUGUUUUUCUGAAAAUCAAUUAAAGAACUGUUUAUGCUAAGUUGUUUAGACUUUAUCAGCUAAUCUGCUUAGUUUUGAGCUUUUCUUUAAUGCACUUUUCAGUUAACAAGUCAACAUCAAUUUCUUUUGCUGUAAAAAAGCUUGAGGAAGGUGGCUUGAGAUUCGUCUUAAGUGUCUAUAGCCUCUUGCCUAUGCAGUCGGAGAGAUUGAGGUCUGCAGCGUAGAUCCUUCGGGGCUAAAUGCAUCUGUGCUAAGUUAUAGCAUUUUAUAGACAACUUGUUGACUAUGAUUUGUCCUUAUAGCUUACUCGCUUAUGUUAUUUUACCUACGCUUAGGAUGUUGACGCAUGAGAUAUACGC
rnacentral:rRNA from 1 species